rnacentral:rRNA from 1 species
GAUGAACGCUGGCGGCGUGCUUAACACAUGCAAGUCGAACGAUGAAGCCCAGCUUGCUGGGUGGAUUAGUGGCGAACGGGUGAGUAACACGUGAGUAACCUGCCCUUAACUCUGGGAUAAGCCUGGGAAACUGGGUCUAAUACCGGAUAGGAGCGUCCACCGCAUGGUGGGUGUUGGAAAGAUUUAUCGGUUUUGGAUGGACUCGCGGCCUAUCAGCUUGUUGGUGAGGUAAUGGCUCACCAAGGCGACGACGGGUAGCCGGCCUGAGAGGGUGACCGGCCACACUGGGACUGAGACACGGCCCAGACUCCUACGGGAGGCAGCAGUGGGGGAUAUUGGCCAAAGUGGGGCAAGCCUUAAUGCACCGACCCCCCCCUGAGGGAAUAACGGCCUUCCCGGUUUGAAACCCCUUUCCUUUUGGGAAAAACCACAAUGGCCGGGUCCCUUCCAAAAAAAAAACCGGCUAAUUUUUUUUCCUCGCCCCCCAGCCCGCGGUAAUAACGUUGGGUGCGGAGCGUUAUCCGGAAAUUAUUGGGGCGUAAAGAAGCUCGUAAGGCGGUUUGUCGCGUCUGUCGUGAAAGUCCGGGGCUUAACCCCGGAUCUGCGGUGGGUACGGGCAGACUAGAGUGCAGUAGGGGAGACUGGAAUUCCUGGUGUAGCGGUGGAAUGCGCAGAUAUCAGGAGGAACACCGAUGGCGAAGGCAGGUCUCUGGGCUGUAACUGACGCUGAGGAGCGAAAGCAUGGGGAGCGAACAGGAUUAGAUACCCUGGUAGUCCAUGCCGUAAACGUUGGGCACCAGGUGUGGGGACCAUUCCACGGUUUCCGCGCCGCAGCUAACGCAUUAAGUGCCCCGCCUGGGGAGUACGGCCGCAAGGCUAAAACUCAAAGGAAUUGACGGGGGCCCGCACAAGCGGCGGAGCAUGCGGAUUAAUUCGAUGCAACGCGAAGAACCUUACCAAGGCUUGACAUGUUCUCGAUCGCCGUAGAGAUACGGUUUCCCCUUUGGGGCGGGUUCACAGGUGGUGCAUGGUUGUCGUCAGCUCGUGUCGUGAGAUGUUGGGUUAAGUCCCGCAACGAGCGCAACCCUCGUUCCAUGUUGCCAGCACGUCGUGGUGGGGACUCAUGGGAGACUGCCGGGGUCAACUCGGAGGAAGGUGAGGACGACGUCAAAUCAUCAUGCCCCUUAUGUCUUGGGCUUCACGCAUGCUACAAUGGCCGGUACAAUGGGUUGCGAUACUGUGAGGUGGAGCUAAUCCCAAAAAGCCGGUCUCAGUUCGGAUUGGGGUCUGCAACUCGACCCCAUGAAGUCGGAGUCGCUAGUAAUCGCAGAUCAGCAACGCUGCGGUGAAUACGUUCCCGGGCCU